rnacentral:rRNA from 1 species
GAUGAACGCUGGCGGCGUGCCUAAUACAUGCAAGUCGAGCGAAUGGAUUAAGAGCUUGCUCUUAUGAAGUUAGCGGCGGACGGGUGAGUAACACGUGGGUAACCUGCCCAUAAGACUGGGAUAACUCCGGGAAACCGGGGCUAAUACCGGAUAACAUUUUGAACCGCAUGGUUCGAAAUUGAAAGGCGGCUUCGGCUGUCACUUAUGGAUGGACCCGCGUCGCAUUAGCUAGUUGGUGAGGUAACGGCUCACCAAGGCAACGAUGCGUAGCCGACCUGAGAGGGUGAUCGGCCACCCUGGGACUGAAACACGGCCCAGACUCCUACGGGAGGCAGAAGUAGGGAAUCUUCCGCAAUGGACGAAAGUCUGACGGAGCAACGCCGCGUGAGUGAUGAAGGCUUUCGGGCCGUAAAACUCUGUUGUUAGGGAAGAACAAGUGCUAGUUGAAUAAGCUGGCACCUUGACGGUACCUAACCAGAAAGCCUCGGCUAACUACGUGCCAGCCGCCGCUGUAA